AGUUGAGCUGGGUUUUUUUGUUUUUCCUGCUAAGAUCUCCCAACAGAAUGCACUGCACCUCCACACCGCACGGGCCCCAAGGGAAUGGGACAACUCAGUUAUGCUGGACCAUCUGAGAAUGUGAGGCCAAAUGACCCACUUCUCUCUCAGGUGUUUGGCUGGUGGAUUCUGGUGAGCAUGCUCUAAGGAGUGCGGGGGCUCUGAGAGCUGGAAACGGCUUUUCUCCAGUUUCCACUAGAAGCAGCCUUGUCCUGAUGGUGGCUUGCAACCACCUUGGCCUGGACCCACUGAUGCAGAGCCACUUGGCUUAUGGUCCCUUCCUUCAGCUACCACAAGAAAUAGAUUUGCAAUGGCCAGAAGUGUGUAGACCACCAUCUUUCAGCUCCUAGAACUAAAGGAACAGAAGUUUGGGAGACAAAGUCAAUGUCUCGAGGCCUUAAAGCAAGUGACACAGACUGGAGAAAACCUCUGGGGUUGGGGUUGUUGGGGUUGGGGGGAGGUGGCCAUUGCAUCAGACUGCUAAGAUGAUCUGCCUGCCUGCAAAGGAGUGGAUGUUCAAGGUUACUUCUCUGUCCAUCCUUCUUUACCCAGCCUCAUCAGUCCCGGGCCCUGGCCUGGCUUCUCUCACAGGCAAUGGUAGUUACCCUGUACCCUGUGUUCCUGCCACUACCCCGUGACACCAUGGUGGACUGUAUCCUGGAACUGUAAGCCAUGAGAAACACUUCCCUGAGUGGAUUUCAUCGGAUAUUUCACUGUGGCAAUGAGACAAGAAACUAACACAGACACGGGUGACAGAGCUGUAGGGAGUGGCCGGCAUGGCCUUCAUGUUAGAGGGACGGAUGGGACGGAGACUCAGUAUGGCUUUUCAGGAUAGACUGGAGUAAAUCACAGGCUCCAGGAAGGAGGCGCCAAGGGGAGAAAACAGCCGAGGAGGCACAGAAGGCAGAAACACGGCAGAAGGCACAAACUCUUCUACAUGUGCCUAGGCAUGAUCAAGAGACCGCAGGGAGCAGCACAUAGUAGGUGCUCAGGAAACUAUGAUGCCUGGAAAUGUAAUCCUGUUAUUUAUAACUAUCACUUCAUAAACUACGCACCACUGUCCCUACUGAUGUCUUCUUUUUUUCCUGUUUUACUAACCAGAAUUUCUCAUUCCCUGACCCUCUCUCACAGAGGAGACUCUCUAUAUUUACAGAGACCUUCCAGGGAGAAUACAACUGCCCCACCCCCUAUGCAAAGGAGCAAGAGGGAGGCACAAAGAGGUGAAGUGCUUUGUCUGUGGUCACACAGCUAGGGGAGGCAAGAUCUGAAUGGAGAACUGCAGAACAUUUUAGGCCUUGCUUUUUCUACCAGGGAUCUAGGCUGCCGAGUUGCUCAUGUGCCAACUUGACUCCUGCUGUCCCUUCAUGAUUCACGGCUGGCCUGCAGAAAUGAUUGGUUCACGCCAGCCCUGGCUAUUCCUAGCGGCCUUUGUCCAGCUCACUGUGUUCUAGAAUGAUGGCGAGACUUAGGUCAGGUGACCGCUGUAGGCUCCGUGAGGGGCUCUAACAGGCCUAAGUAUGGCAGACAUUGCUCUGGCAGGUCUUGUCUUCCCCUAUUCCCUCUGCCUUGCUAAACCAUUAGAUUGCACUCCUAAAGCUAGUCUCCAAGGUCUAUUCCCUUAUUUGGCCACUUCCUCCUCCUGAGGCUGACCACUACGGUCUAGCUAUAAAAGUAUUGAAAUCCAGCAAUCAAAAGCCCCCUUUUGGCUCAUCCAAUGAACCUGUCCAAUCAAAAUUAAACACCUCAUCUUAACACGGGGUUUUCCCUAUCCCUUUAUAAACUGCCAUUUGUCCGUGGGCCAAAUCUGUUUCCUCGCUACCCAAAGGCAGUUCUCUCUUCCUCUCCUUUGUUCCCUUCCCCUUUGCCCUCUAUCUCCUGUCUUUGUCUUUUAUUCCAUGCCCUUUGGUCCUCUCAGGCAAAUUAAUCUUUGUGC
rnacentral:lncRNA from 1 species